rnacentral:rRNA from 1 species
AGCAGCCGCCGCGGGAAUACAGAGGGUGCAAGCGUUAAUCGGAAUUACUGGGCGUAAAGCGCGCGUAGGUGGUUUGUUAAGUUGGAUGUGAAAGCCCCGGGCUCAACCUGGGAACUGCAUCCAAAACUGGCAAGCUAGAGUACGGUAGAGGGUGGUGGAAUUUCCUGUGUAGCGGUGAAAUGCGUAGAUAUAGGAAGGAACACCAGUGGCGAAGGCGACCACCUGGACUGAUACUGACACUGAGGUGCGAAAGCGUGGGGAGCAAACAGGAUUAGAUACCCCCGUAGUCCCUGUCUCUUAUAC